AAUAUUAACUAUUGAACACGUUUCUAGAAAUCUUAUUACCGGAAAAAAAAAAUACAAUUAAAUUUCAAUCUCUUUAUCUUCUUCCAUUAAGAUGGCGAUUAUAUCAGUAAGUUUCUUUAGUUGUUUCUCGGGUGCAGCAAACAAGGUGAUGGACGAAGGAAAUGAUAAAAAUAGUGCAUCAAGAAAACUUCAGAACGUUGAUGAAGAUCACAAAACGAAGGUGAUCAAGAGCAGAAAAACCGCACCAAUUCCUGUUGCUCAUUUCCCUAUCGGCUCAAACUUUUCUCGCUUGUAAAUGUUAAAAAAAAAAAAAGUCCAAUUAAGUGAGCUUUACUGUGCUUAUUAAUGGAUCGAGUGAAAUAUUCUGAUGCACCAUAGAAGAACAAGAGCAUUUUGAUGUAAAUUUUCAUUUACUUUUGCAUAUUCGGUUUAGUAUUUUUAUAGAUUUUGAUAGAUAAUGUAUGUCUUAGAAAUUUAGACAAAAAUAUUUGAAUUGAAAUUAGUUGAUGAAUAUUGUAAUGUAUAAUUAAGUUUAGUCACAAAAGUUUGGGUUAGUUUGGACAUUAGUAUUUGUGGAUGUUUGAAAUUAGUACUUCAUAUAAAUUUGGUGCGACUAUGGGCAUAUAUAAUGUAGCUGUCGCGUGCUCAAAUCAACAUGCAUCUAGCCAAGAAUUCUGUUAGUGUAAAGAUAAUUGAGUUGUUUGUGUUAAUGAUGGCUUAUCAUGUGUUGUAUAGGCCAUCAAACAAGUUUAAAGUAAAGGGCAUCAAUUGACUGUCAUCAAUUAAGGUUGAUUCUAUGAUGCUUUAUAAAAAAACUAAAUACACAUUAAAAUGAGUAUUAAAUGGAUGUAAAUAAUAAUAAUGAGAUUUGUAGUUGAUAUUGCGAACGCAAUAUCUAUGAAUAAAGAGUAUAUAAUAUUCGUGAAACAUAUGAUAUGAUUUAUAAGUAAAUUCGUGUUUUAUAAACCAUCAAAUAUGCAAUGAUCAUUUGUAUAUAUAUGGAUGUUAUGUGUUAGCAUAUGGAAAAGGUAAAUUAUAUGUGAAACCUGUUAAUCUGUGUAUAGUGAUUACUGGUUAGUAUAUGUAAAUAGUAUAUCCGGCCCAUGUGGUCCGGAUUGCUUUGCCCAUUGGACCCAUUGUAUUUUAUAUAUUUAUAGUAAUUUGACCCAUGGGAAAAUAGAAUGAUUUAUACGAAGAGCCAAAACGUAAACACCUUAGGUGGAUUGAAAUUUUAUAAACAAACAAAAGUAUAAUAGGCUUGAAAAAGUACAAGAUUUACAAAAAUAAUCAUACAAUUAAUUAUGGAAUUGAUUUAAAAGUAUCUCCAAAAGCUAAUUUUAUGACUUAUUAUUAUAUUAUUUGCAUUAGACUAUUUAUCACUUGGUAUCUCCAAAAUAUUUUCAUGUAUAGUACAUUUAACCCUCUCUUCUUUAAAUCGUAUUUCAUUUAACCCUUAACUAUAUUUUAGUUUUAACUAUUUUUAUUUUUUAUUAGUUAAUGAAUUAUUCAAUCAAUGAUUUCAUCACAUUUUAUUUAUAAAAUAUAAAUUACAACAACUAUAUAAUAUUUUCAACUUUUUGUAACUAUGACAUAUUAAUUUUUUCUUAUUUUACGUUUAUGAAAUAAAGGUCAGAUGUACUUUUAUUUCUAAUGAUACUACUUAUUAAAAUAUUUUUUAGAAAAUGAUGUUUGUUUAAAAACAAUUAAUUAAAUGGAUGAGAUUUUAUAAAACAUUAUAAAUAGACAAUGAUUAAUUAAGUAAAAUUAAAAAAAAAAAAAAAAAAAAAAAAAAAAAAAAUUAAAAAAAUUUAAAUUUUGGAAAAAAAAAAAAAAAAAAAAAAAAAAAAAAAAAAAACUAUUGAAAAAUGUUAACUAUUGGAAAUAAUAUUUAAUUAUAUGUUAGAGUUAAUGAAAUAAUGAGAUGAUUACUAGACGAAAUAACACAAAGAAUUUGACAAAACAAUAUUUGUUGAUGAAAAUUAGGAAAAAGAAAACAGUAAACGAGUAAAGAAGUCUCGAUAUUUUUUUUUGGUAAAUUAAAAUAUUAGUUUAUACCCAAACAUAGAGAAAAACUAAAUUAUAAAAAAAAAUGAAUUGAAAAAAAAAUAAAAUUAUUGGAGUUCCCCUAAGAUUCUGGGACGUUGACAACUUCUCUAGGAUCGCAAGUAGAUUUGGUCAGGUCAUAAGUCCAUUUGACAAUAUUCUUGAUAGGAGCGACUUAUCUAUGGGCAAGGUCGGGGUAAUCACAAAGAGAAUGAAGUGGAUUAACGAAGAGAUCCAAAUCUGUGUUGAUGGCGUAAUUUAUGAGGUCGGGGUCGUUGAAUAUACCGAUGAUUGGUCGGCAUUCAAACCUAUUCAGUAGUUCGAUAAAGUGGAUGACGUAUCCAUCUCAGAAGGUAGUGAUGAAGACGUCGAGGAUGAAAGGGUCUCUGAGACAUGGUUGCAGGACAAUGAUAACGAUCUAGAGGAUGGAGAAUUCCGAUCCGAAGGUGCACCGGUAGUUCAUCCGGAGAAGAUGAAAUGUCACGACGGAACUGAAGAGUCUCUGGAGGUCCUGGAGAAUAAUGAGAAUGUAAUCAUGACGAUUGUUGAUCCCACGGUGGUGAUUUCCCAAGUAGCAGUCAAGGCGGAUAAUCCAAGCAAGGCGGUUGGAAUUCCACAAGUACUAAGCAAGAACGCAAAUAUUGGGAGUACUACAGUCUACAUGCAGUGAUGGCGUAGACCCGAUGAGUAGUGGGGCGGAUCCUAAUUCUAGUACUAUUGGGCCUAAAAACAAUUAUGGGCCUUCCGUGUACACUAAUCUUGUCCCGGACUCUACUCCACCAGCCCAUAUCGCUCACACGGCCCAUUGUAUUGACUUGUCAUCCCGCUCUAAGAGUUGUAGCAGCGAUCUUAAAAUCAAAAGAAGAAAAAAAGCUAGAGGUUGUCGUUCCCUUCCCCUCAUCACUGAAGUUCCUCCUGUACACUCCAAUCUUUCAGCCCAGAAUGGUAAUGAUCCUCUCCCUUCCAGCAACAAUUCUUUGGAUCUUAAUAGAGAACCUUCCAACUCAGCUACGAAUCAGAUCCGUUCUGAUGAACAUGAUGAGACUGUAUCCAAUGAAAUCCGCCAAACAGUGGCCAUAGGGAAUGAAAUUGGCUUUCAACUGGAGGUUGACAACCACGUUCUUGUCGAGGUUGUGGGGAGUCGGGGUGUUAGCGAUGGUGAUUAAUGAAUUUUCUAUCACUCAAUGUAAGGGGGGUGGGUGAAGAUGCGAAAGUCAGCUGGGUUAGGAGGCUAAAGAUCAAACAUAAGGCAACCUUUGUUGGUUUACAGGAAACUCAGUUGUCGGACUAUUCAAAUAUUGAUGUUAAAGGUUGUUGGGAUUCAAAUGAUUAUGACUUUGUUGGGGUCGAUUCCAGUGGUCGAUCGGGGGGUCUCAUAUCUAUAUGGGAUACCAGACUUUUUCAAAAAGGAGAUGUUAUUAAGAACCGUAACUUUCUAGUAGUUAUUGGUAAAUGCAAGAACAAAGAUGGUAUACUGAAUAUUGCUAAUGUGUAUGGUCCUCAGUCCCCAACUGAAAAGAAGAACGUAUGGACGGAACUACUUAGUAUCAUAAAAUUAAGACCUGGCAUGUGGGUUAUGUUUGGAGACUUCAAUGUAGUGUGUGAACUUGGUGAGAGGUGUAACUCCCAAUUCUGUCCUGCUAGCGCCUUUGCCUUCAACACAUUCAUCCAGGAAGCUAAUCUAAAGGAUUUUAACAUGGGCGGUGAAAGAUUUACAUUUAUGAGCAGGGCUGAUGCCAAAUUAAGCAAGCUUGACAGAUUCUUGGUCUGUCCAAAAUUCUUGUCAUCUUUUCCUCUUAGUUCUGUGACAGCACACCCACGUGAACUAUCCGAUCAUUGUCCCAUUACCCUAUCAUCUGCCAUGUCAGAUUUCGGGCCAAUACCGUUUAAACUUUUUAACUCUUGGCUCCUUAGGGAUGGCUUCGAUCAAGUUGUAUCCGAAGCAUGGAAUAAAUUUAAAGGGUAUGGUACUCCUUAUAUGGCUGCUAAACUCAGGUUCUUGAAGGAGAUGAUUAAGAAGUGGCGGUGGGAAGGGGAUCAAAAAGAAAAAAAAAAGUGUUCAACGACACUUUGAAUCUGGUUAAAGAGAUUGAAAAGCUUGCGGAAUCUAGACCUCUUUCUUCAUCAGAAAUGGACAUAUGGAACAACGGGAUCAACAGGAUAAUGGAGAUGGAACGAUUUAAAGCUUUGGAUCUGAAACAGAAAGCUAGAAUCAAAUGGACCAUCGACGGUGACGAGAACAACAAAUUUUUCCAUGGGUUCAUUAACAGCAAAAAUAGGAGGAAUCUUCUACAUGGUCUGUUGAUUAACGGUCGGUGGACUACGGAGGUCAACGAGAUCAAGGAGGAAGUCUUCAGAUUUUUUCAAGGAAAAUUCUCGGAAGGUCAUGUUUCUAGACCUAAACUAAUCAACCCGAUGUUCAAGACUCUUCCAAUGAUGGAUGCCCUUAGAAUCGAAUCUCCUAUCAGUCUUGAGGAGAUUAAGGCUGCGAUUUGGGAUUGUGGAAGUGAAAAACCCCCAGGACCCGAUGGUUUUACCUUUACGUUCCUGAAAAAAUUCUGGGACAUUAUCAAAUACGAUGUGAUGAAGUUUGUAAAACAUUUUGAGGAGUGUGGCUCACUUGCAAGAGGGUGUAACUCGUCUUUUAUCACUCUAGCUCCCAAAAUCAAAGACCCAUUAUCUUUGAACGAUUAUCGCCCUAUAAGUCUUAUUGGGUGUUUGAGCAAAAUCAUAAGUAAGAUACUUUCCAAUCGAAUAAAGUUGGUUAUCAGGAGUUUAAUUGGUGACGAACAGUUGGCUUAUGUGGAAGGGCGCUGCAUACUUGAUGGCCCUCUCAUGAUUAAUGAGGUUUGUACAUGGGCUAAGAAAACACGGAAAAAUAUCCUUCUCUUCAAAGUUUACUUUGACAAAGCAUUCGAUUCGGUGAAUUGGCAAUAUCUUGAUUCGGUACUUGAACAAAUGGGUUUUGGGAACAAAUGGCGGAUGUGGAUUCGGGGAUGCCUGAGUUCGUCUAGGGGUUCGGUGAUAGUCAACGGAUCUCCAACGAAGGAAUUUCCUAUCUCAAGAGGGGUUCGUCAAGGUGACCCCCUAUCUCCAUACCUAUUUAUUAUUGCAAUGGAGGGGUUGAAUGUGGCUCUUAAAUCGGCUUGUGAAAAAGGGCUCUUCAAAGGAGUUCAAAUCCCAGGUAACGGACCUAGCAUAUCUCACUUAUUCUAUGCUGACGAUGCGUUGUUUGUAGGUGAAUGGUCGCGGUCUAAUCUCAAGAACCUCGCACGUAUAUUGAGGUGCUUUCAUAUCUCUUCGGGCCUCAAAGUAAAUUUUCAUAAGUCAAAGGUUUUUGGUAUUGGUGCCACCCAAGCAGAAACAGAAAAUUGGGCGAACCUAUUGGGGUAUGCAGCGGGUGUUCUUCCAUUCGAGUAUCUCGGCGUUCCGGUUGGCGCCAAUAUGAAUCUAAUUAAAUAUUGGAAGCCUAUCAUCAAGAAAUUUCACUCCAAACUCUCCACAUGGAAGGCUAAAACCCUGUCGUUCGGGGGGAGGCUAACUUUAAUAAAGACAGUCAUGGGUAACCUGCCUACCUACUACUUAUCCUUAUUUAAAGCUCCGUUGGGUGUAGUAGAAGAAUUAGAGAAGAUAAGGCGAACAUUCUUAUGGGGUGGAUGUGAUGAUAGGAAAAGGAUUCACUGGGUUAGUUGGGAGAAAGUGAUAGCAGCGAAAGGUGAUGGGGGAGUGGGAGUGGGUUCCAUAAAGGCCUUAAACAUUGGACUACUCAUAAAAUGGUGGUGGAGAUUGAAGAAUGAAAACCAUUCACUAUGGGCUCGUGUGACCCAAGGGAUCCAUAACUUAUCCAAUAAACCUUUUGAUCAUCUAUCUAAUCGGAAGUAUAGUGGAGUCUGGAAUACUAUUCCAGGAAUCAAAAAGACAUUGCUAGAGCAUAACCUAGAUGUUCAUGACAUUUUCAAAAUAAAAGUCGGAGCUGGGGACAAAACUUUAUUCUGGUAUGAUAAUUGGUUAAACUCGGGGAGCCUAAAAAUAAAGUAUCCUUCCUUAUUUGAAUUGGAAGCCAGGAAACGAUGCACCGUAGCCGAUAGAAUUGCUAACUUGAAUAAAGAUUGGAAUUGUAAGUCCAGCCCUAGUGCUAUGGGGCUUGAAUCUGAUGUCAAUGCCCUCACUAGUGAAGUAUCUGGUACCUGCUUAAGGCCGGGAGUGGAUCACUGGAUCUGUAAGUUAUCGGGCGAUGGUCUAUUCUCUGUUAGUUCCCUAAGACAGUUUAUUGACAAGCUGCAAGUUAGUAUUCCUGGUAUAUCUGAAAUCGUAUGGAGUAGGGUGGUCCCAAUUAAGGUAUUAUGCUUUAUUUGGAGAGCUGCGCAAGGUCGUAUUCCAUCAGCUGUAGCACUAGAGAAUAGGGGUACUUUGGUCAAUUCUCUGUGGUGUAGUUCGUGCAUUGGGAUGAACGAAUGUGCUGAUCAUAUUCUGAUUGACUGUCUGUUUGCUACCCAGAUCAGGAACAAUAUUUUGAGUUGGUGCGGUGUAAGAAGUGAUCAUAUUUCAAUAAAAACUAUUGGUGAUUUUCUGCAUUUCACUACUACCUGGGGGAAUUGUAAUUCGAAAAGAGAAAGGUUUACCGCCAUCAGCUAUGGGUUGCUAUGGAACUUAUGGAGUUUCAGGAACAAACGUUUAUUUCGAAUGGAGGGUACUUCAGUACGUCAGGGGACUGAACGCAUUAAGUCCAUGGUCUUUUAUUGGUUAAAGCAUAGGGGCAAAAAUGUAAUCUGUAACUGGGAGGAGUGUUUAGUAUCUCCAUUUUCUGGUUUGUAAGUUAUGAACUGUAUGUAUCUUGUUUGUUGGUUCCCUCUUCUAGUUCCUUGCUAGUUGGGGUACCCUCUAUUAAUAUAUUUGCCGUUUCAAAAAAAAAAUGAAUUUCUAAAUGAAUCAAUUUUUCCUUCCAACGAGGGAAAAUAAAUUUCAUCAAAAAACUUAAGGAAUUAAAAUUCCUUUCAAGUGAAAUUGUUGAAAAUUAUCAUAUUACCCAUUUUAGUUUUAGCACUACUCAUGAACACCGCGAACAUAUCAUCACUACCACCACCACACUACCUUCCACCUCCACCAUCACCUCUACCCCACACUACCUUCCACCUCCACCAUCAUUCACCAUCGCGAACAUAUCAUCACUACCACCACCACCGUCAUCACCUUCGCCACCACCUUCAUCAGCACCACUGUUACUACCACUAUUGGCACCUCCAUCACUACACCACCCACCACCUCCACCACUACUCAUGAACACCGCCAUCACCAUCAUCAUCAUAAUUACUACCGCCACCAUCGUCAUCACCUCCGCCACUACCCACCAUCACCUUUGUCGCCAUCAGCACCACUAUUGCCACCAUCAACAUCACUGCCACGAUCACCCUCAUUUACUAUUUUAUAAUUUAUAUAACAUAUUUUACAUAUAAGUUAUAAAAAAAAUAAGAAAAAAACAAAAAAUGAUAAUUUUGUCAUUUUAUAUUAUUUCAGUUCCAUUUGCAAACUAAACAUAAUAUGGAAAUUGGAUUCAAAUUCGAUUCUCACCAACCAAACAGAAUAUGGAAUUGGAUUGCAAUUUCAGACAAAUUCCAAUUUUUAACGGAUUUCAAUUUCUUCAAAAAGAGUAUGUGAAUCAAACGCGGCCUUAGUUUUUAUAUAAUUUUACAUUUUAAGAAACUUAAAAUUAUUUUUGUUGAACACUUUUAUACAAAUAAAAUUAAAACUUUCAGCUACCAAUUUCCGGUUUAUAGUUUAUGGCUAACAACUAGUUUUCCAAAAUAUAUAAUCCGUCAAAAAUGAAAAUCAAGCGAGUGUUCAACAAAAUUCAAGAAUAGACCCAUUUGAUCAGAGAAAAAACCCAGAUUUACCUAGCCGAAAAAGACAGGGCUAUAUAGAAUAUAAAUAUUAGUCCGAUUAAAAUAAGUAAUGUUGGACUUGUUCACUCUAAGAAAGUUCAAUCUGAAUCAAAAUUCAAUAGACACGUGUUCCAGUUUGACCAAUUUCAUCAGCGUUCUCCCCAAGCAAAAUAUAUUACUAGGAAACUUCAAAGAAGUGUGUUAAAUCUUUGUGAAUAAAUAUGAGAAAAAAGUAUGGCUUUUGCUUCAUCCCAAAAAAAAAAAACAUAAAAACUCAUAAUUUUUAUUUGAUACAAUUAAAAAAAUUAAGAAUGGCAGUUAUGUUGGGUUUGUUUAGUUGUUUCUCUGGUUCAAGCAAAGUCGCAGUUGAAGGAAAACAAACAGAAGCUCUUGCUCACAACAAACCAAAAAAGUCCGAAACCAGGAAAACUGCGCCAAUUCCGGUGGCUUAUUUUCCAAUCGGCUCAAACCUUUCUCGUUUGUAGAAAUAUAGAAUAAAUGUUUGUAAAGAUCUAGAGAAAGCACUACCCUUGAUGGAUAGAGUAUAACUAUUGAUGCCAGGGAGUUGCAGUUAGAAAAAUAGAAACGACACGAUUUUGGUUUGUAUAUAUAACACAAUUUUCAUUUCGUUUUACAUGAGUGAUCAAAAAGAUAUGUAACAAAAACAUUCAAUUUACGCCUUUUAAUAAAGUUAUGUUAAAUUUAUUAAUUCCUGGUCAUAUUUAAUUCGUCUUUAUGUGUUUUUAGUUUUUAUAUAUAUAUUUUUAAUCAAAAUAAUUGGUUGAAGAGCCUUAAUUAAGCUCACCCCCACCCCUCUUGUGAUGAAAACGGAUAAAACGUAUUACAUCAAUAUUCACAUGCAUACAUCCACUUGUACAAAUUAGUUGGCCUUGAGCAUAUUUCCAGAUGUAAUAUUUUUAGCCAUUCCAGCAAAGGAACAAACAGUAUGCUUAAACAAGUCCUUUCCAUUUUUAGAUGGGAAGAGUCAAAACUCAUUCUCAAGACAAUUUAUACCGAAACCAAUUAUUUUCUGUAGACACUCUUUUUAAUUAGCUACAUCACGGUUAUGUAUACACUUGUCUUCACAAGCUAAACUGCCACCUCUUUAUAACCUCAAGAUUGUUGAAAACAUAAAAGCUGUCAUGAUUUAGUCUCUUGCAAGACUUGAGGUAAGACUUGAAGCAAGUGUUUUGCGUGCUUAGGCUACAAUUCGUUUGCACAACUCUUUGUCAACCAACAAAUGGCAUGAAUAACCACAAGUUUGAUUCAAGUUCAUGGCUAUGGCAUCACUAUAAACACCUCAUAUAUAGAGAAUGCAGUAGUAGCCUGUAAAAAGAUUCCGUACAUGAAUACUUGAUGAUAUUGGUAGUCUCAACGGGUUAGUUGAUUACAUUACUUGGAAGUAUAUGUUUUCAUCCGGGAAGCAAAAUCAUAUAAAAACAAAUAAAAGGCCACAUGGUGGUUGACACAAAGUUGUGUAAUAUUCAAAAAAGAUCGUUAAACCCAAGCACACUUCAAGACUUACCUGAAUCCCAACAACUUUUGUGUUUUCAUGCAUUUAUGUAUCAUGGUAUCUAUUUUCCUUGUCCCUAUUGUGAUGAAAUGACAAAAAUAUCUUUCGGUUAACGGAUAAAACUUAACGGAAUGAACAAUAAUGACCAAACAUCAAAAGUUUUGAAAACAUAUGGAUCAUCUGUGAAAUUUUUUAAACUUAAGUACUAAACUUUAGAUUUCAGAAAAACAUAGGGACCAUUUAUGAUGUUCUUUUUCUUUUUCUUUUUUUAAUGAUAUCUUAAAGUGAAAUAAACUAACUUUAAUUUUAAAUUCAUAUGGAUAUCUUUUAUUUUUCAGAAAUAGAAAAUAAACAACCAAAGGGCUUGUAGCCUAGCGGUAUCAUGUGGUGUCCUUUCUCUUUGAACUUGAGGGUUCAAGUCCCGUCGUGGACAUGGGUGGAAUAGGUGUUGUUAGCGUAAGAGUAGAUAAAAUGUUCCAGUUAAAAAAAAUGAACAAAAUAAAAUUUGAAUAUUAAUAUAAAAAUAAAUAGCUUAUAAAAAGUUAGAAACAUUUAUUCAAUAAAGUGGAUUAUUUAUUUUUCCUUGGCGGCAAAGCCUAAGAAAGUGAUUUGUGUACACUGUAAUGUGUUUGACCACCAACAAAAUUUUCGUUUGUUUGGUCAUCACCCUCCUCCCCACGCCAAGAAAUUAUUGGAAAUUUCGAAGAAAUUGGUUGUUUAUAGAUGUGUAUAAAUAUCGCAAAUGCAAGGGUAGGAGUCAUAAUAUUAACAACACAUUUCAAGAAAUAUUUUUGCCAAUUACAAGUAAAUUUCAAUUUCUUUAUCUUCUUCGGUUAAGAUGGGUAUUAUAUCAGGUUUCUUUAGUUGUUUCUCGGAAGCAAACAAAGUGAUGGAUGAAGGAAAUGGUAAAAAUGGUGCAUCAAGAAAAGUUCAGAACGUUGAUGAUGACCAUAAAGCAAAGGUGAAGAGCAGAAAAAGCGCACCAAUUCCAGUUGCUUAUUUUCCCAUCGGCUCAAACUUUUCUCGCUUGUGAAUGUAAAAAAACAGUCCAAUUAACAUCACGAAGUGAGCUUUACUAUGCUUGUGAUUAAUGGAUCGAGUAUAACUAUUAAUGCAUGGAGCAGCUUAUAAAGAAGAAUGAGAGAAACUCUCUCAGUAAGUAUGUAUGUACCAGGUGUAUAUCAAGGGAAGCUCAAGGUACAAUCUUAUGAUGCAUGAGUAGAAGAUCGACCAAGUGCAGUUGGAUAUUUUCAUUUCUACGAUCUUAAUGACUUAAUAGGGUAACGAACUUUGGUUUUCGUUCGAAUUUAGAUAAAUAUGUUUUUUUCGUAUACAUUUAACACGUAAACUUGUUUUACAUAUUCAAAAUAUGGUAAUAUUACUAGUAAUUACAAAUGAUAUUAUCAUAUUAUUUACAUGUCAAAGUUGAAACAUAUACCAAAGAAACAUAAUUAUUUAAAUAUGGACAAAAUUCAAAAUUCGUUAUCCAAAGAACUAUUAUGGAGUGUGUGGUUGUUUGUGUUUGUGUUUGUGUAAGAUAUAGCAUGUGUUUUUUGUAUCAAGGAUAUAGGUGAUUAAACGAGUUUAAAGUAAAGGGUAUCAAUUGAUUGUGAACAAUUAAUUAAGGUUAUUCUAUGAUGCUUUAUAUAACUAAAUAAACAUCAAAAAUAGUAUUUUAUACACAUAUGGUAAUCAUGAGAUUUAUACUUUAUAUUACAACCAUAAUGUUUACGAAUAAAAAGUAUAUUAUAGAUUAAAUUACAAAUCGUCCAUGUGUUUGGUUUAAUCUGUACGUUUCAUACUUUUGUUUUGUUUAAUUCGAAUUUGUUGCAUCUUUCCUCCUUCCCAUUAACGGUGUUUAGUUUUUAUUGUGGUACAAUAACAAACUUAUCUUUAUGGGUGAUGCUAAUAAAACACCACAACUCAUUGACUCAUUUAUAAAAAGUCAAUAUAUAUUUAACUAUUUAUAAUCAAUUUUUUCUGAAAACAAUCAAAUUUCAACCAAUAAAAAUAUUUUAAAAUUAAAUUAAGGUGUGUAUAUGGUAAAAUAGGGUGUCUUUUUAGUCAACUCUUUAUUUUUAUACGUAUUAUUGUUCUAAAAAACAAACAAAUUAGACUAGAGGGAGUAGGAUGGGUUAUUUCGUUGGUUGCCAUUUUCAUCCUAGAUAUGAAUCCUCUUUCUCUAUAGUUUGGAUUCGGCUUCUCUACUUUCCCUUGCCAUUUUUGAGUCUUGCAUACCUUAAAGGUCUUGUAGGAACCUUUGGAAAAUUCCUUCGUACAGAUGAGCGCACUCUUGUCUUGGCUCACCCCAUGUUUGCUCAUGUAUGUGUUGAGAUAGAUGUCACUCAGCCUUUGCCUUCUAAGGUUUGGGUUGGUCCAUCCAAAGAAGAAUGAAUUCUCUUUGUCGGUUAUAUCCUAGGUGGUAUGUCUUUCCCAUGGUAAGCAUGGUAGAACAAGUGUGACAAGAGAACUGAUCAGCUCCCCCAUGUUGAGUCUCUCUCUUAUCCCCGCUGUUUUCCUUCUUUUCCAUUUUCUCCUCUUCGGUCUUCUUCCUUUCUUGCCACAUUUUUUUGUGAUUGAACCAUUCACAUUGAAUGGAAAGAGUGAGGUGGAAAGGCUUUGCCAUGCUAUUUCUAUGAGACCACCUUUUUGGUCACCGGAGACCCAACCUGCCUUCUCCGCUUGUCUUAGCCACCGUCAUCCACAGUAAUGGCCCCAUUAAUGGUCAUUAGCUUUUGUCGGUAACCCAUAAACACUGGCUACCGACGCCACCUAUCUUAGCCAACGUCCUGUCUAGCCGUUGUCAUCCCUUGUCUAGCCACCUUCCAUCUCCAGUAAAAGAAGCCUCAAUCUAUUAUUUGUCUACAUACCACCUCCGGUAAAAUUAAAAAUAAAAAAAAUAAAAAAAAACUCCGACUUAUCUACAAAUAUAUGAAUGGAUUGUAUUUUAAAUAUUUUUUCAUUGUCAUAAGUUUUAUCAAGUAAUAUAUAACACAGUUAAAAAUAUUUAAGGUAAAAAUUGAAGAGAAAAGACUUCAAAAGUCAAAAGUAUGACUAUCAAUUUGGGACGGAGGGAGUAUUUUUUUACCCACCCUUCAAAAAGACUAAAGACAUCAUGGAUGUUUACAAUUUGGAUUCCUAAGAGGUUGUUGAUGACAAAGAAGUGGUAGAUGUCGACGAGCUACUUCACUUACGGUUAUGAGGUAAUUAGGUUAGCUUGAAAUCACUCACCCCCAUAAGGUGAGUAAUUAGUUUAGCUAAUUGGAUUUAUUUGAUAACAUAAUAUUUUUUUCCUAUGUGCAUUUCAUUUUAAAGAUCAUGAAAUGAAUUCUACCAAUAAAUAAUUUAUUAUUAUGGUUUUCGAAGUUAAAUGAGUACCUGGUAUUGACGGUCGUCGGGCAUGACAGUUAUGUGGUGGACCUGUGGCUGUACAUGCCGAGAGAUUUUAGGGAAGGAGGAGAGACGGUGAAGAGGGUGUGGACCUAGAUGGUUUGACUUUAAUUUAAAGUAAUAUCAAAUGAGAAAUUAAAUAUAAUAAUAAAUAUAGAAGAAAAGAUAAAUUUGUCAUUUUGUUAUGGGAUAACGGCAAAAACUAAACACCAUCAACAAAAGACAAGGAUAAAACUUUUAGGUGGUCCAAACUAUUAGCCGAUAUUAUUUUAGUGUUGAUUGUAUUCUAUUUUAGGCAUUGAUCCCUUUGUUUUUGUAUAAAUAUACUCUUAAUAUUCAAAGAGAAGGCAAGCAUUAUUUCGCUCUGUAUUAUGGUAUCAGAGCCCUAAUACAUCUUAAAUCUUAAACCCUAUUCUUUUCUUACCUACGACGCAUCUUCCUUAAUCGUUGCCUUCCUCUUCUUCAACAUCAGUCAAUGCCAGGAUCUGAAGAUUCUUCCUCUUCAAAAUCAUCUCCAUCUUUCUACCCUGCUUUUGGUGUUAAUAACAUCAAAAAUUCCAUACCUAUUAUCCUCGAUCGAACUGAUGGACAUUAUCCAUCAUGGAUGAAGUUGUUCAAUAUCCAUGCAUGUGCAUAUAAUGUUCUCGAUCACAUCAAUCCAUAAGCCAAACGACCCGCUGACGUUGACGAUUCUACAUGGCUGCGACUAGAUGCCAUUGUCAAACAAUGGAUUUUCGCCACAAUCUCACCUGAUCUUAGACAAACGAUCCUGAAACCAGGUGCCUCUGCCCUUGAACUCUGGAAUCGUCUUGAAGAAAUUUUUCAAGACAAUAAAGCCACUCGAGCAGUGUAUUUAGAAGAGAAGUUCAACACCACACGUUCUGACUCUUUCUCCAAUCUUACUGAUUAUUCCUCUCGCCUCAAGAAUCUCGCUGAUCAACUCGCUAAUGUGGGUAACCCUAUCUCUGAAACUAAAAUGGUGUUACAACUUAUCGCAGGUUUGACUAAAGGUGAUUAUGAUAUUAUAGCAACCCUCAUUCAACAAACCGAACCUCUACCAAGCUUCAACAAAGCCUGGUCUUAGUUAAUUCUUGAAGAAACUCGUCGUAACAAUCAGUCUUCUCACACACCGCAAACCCUAAUCACCAGCUCUGUCGCUCCAAAAGUGUCAGCUUCCUCCUCUGAUACUAACCACCAGCCUUUUAACUUCAAUAAUGGCAGCAACCCAACUCGUGGUGAUGGCAGGGGAGGCAAUCGUGGCGGUAGUCAGCGAGGAGGUAGAAGUCAGCGAGGAGGAAGAGGAAGGGGGCGUGGAGGAUUCAAUGGGUCUCCAUCUCACAAUUACGGGUCCAACUGUUACCCUUGGUAUAACACAUGGACUUACCUUACUUCUUCAUGGGCCAUCCCACCUUGUCCUUAUCCUACUGCGGCCCAACACCCUUCUCAAUUGGGUCUUCUUGGUCCAGCACCUACAUCUCAGAUUCGUCCCCAGCAUCCUACUACCCCCAAGCCCAUUACACAGUUGAGCAUGGUACACCAAUGACCCCAACUCAACUUGAAACUGCUUUCAACACCAUGCAUCUUCGCCAACCAGAUAACUCUUAGUAUAUGGACACCGGGUCGACUUCUCAUCUCACCAACAACUCAGGUAAUCUUUCCCAUUAUAUCUCUUUGAGUAAUCUGCAAUCUAUUUUAGUUGGUAAUGGCACAAAUAUUCCUAGCACUGGUCAAGGUUCCACUAUCCUCUCUUUCCCUAAUCAUUCUUACUCUCUCCAUAAUGUUUUCCAUGUUCCCCAAAUUAUUAAAAAUUUGGUUUCCGUAAGAAAAUUUACUCGGGAUAAUUGGGUUUCCAUAGAAUUUGACCAUUUCGGUUUUUUUGUGAAGGAUUUUAUCACGAAGAAGGUUCUUAUGAGGCACAAUAGUACCGGUGAUCUUUAUCCCUUCACUCUCGCCAAUGUCAACAACGAGCCUUCUUCUUUCUCUCUUCAUGAUGUUUCUUCUUCAACUUGCCACAACCGCUUUGGUCAUCCCAGGAAUUCUGUUUUCAAUUUGCUUAGGACUAGUUUUCCAAAUUCUGGUGUUAAAUUUGAUUACUCUUGUAAUGCUUGUUCUUUAGGAAAACAUUGUCGUUUACCUUUCUCUCCAUCUCAAACUUUUACUUUUGCUCUGUUUGAUAUAAUACAUGCUGAUUUAUGGACAUCUCCUGUUGCUUCUAAACUUGGUCAUAAAUAUUAUUUAGUGUUGCUUGAUGAUUUCUCUCAUUUUACAUGGACGUAUCCCUUACAAUCAAAAUCUCAAGUCUUCUCAAUUUAUCAACAGUUUCACACAUUUAUUCAAACCCAGUUUCAUAAAACCAUCAAAAACCUUCAAUGUGACAAUGGUAGAGAAUUCAAUAACUAUAUGUUUACUCAGUUUUUCAUUAAAACUGGUACUCAAUUUUGGUUCACUUGUCCUUAUACCUCGCCUCAAAAUGGCAAAGUUGAACGAAUCAUUCGCAUAAUUAAUAACAUGAUUCGAACAAAUCUUCUUCAAGCUUUUCUACCUCCUUCCUUUUGGCACCAUGCUCUCUCUGUUGCCACAUACCUAACCAACAUCUUACGUUCUACUGCCAUCAAAAACAAAACACCUACAUAAAUUCUUUACUUACGCAAGCCAACAUACUCUCAUCUUCGUACUUUUGGGUGUCUUUUUUAUCCUAAUAUUUCCUCUACUACACCAAACAAAUUAACCCCAAGAUCGAUACCCUCUAUCUUCCUUGGGUAUCCACCUAAUCACCGUGGUUACCUAUGUCAUACACUCUCCGAUAACAAACCUAUAAUUUCACGCCAUGUCACCUUCAAUGAACAAACCUUCCCUUAUCAAAAUCGAUCUUCUUAUCCUCCUUCUUCGUAUGACUUUCUAAAUGAUAUACCACCUUCUCCUUAUUUAUCCUAUCAUUCUCAACAGCCUCCUACCACUAGUACCAACCACAAUACUAGUGCCACUGUUCCUCCCUCUCAAUCCUUACCGACCAUCCCUCGUGGACCUCCAUCUCUUCCACCACCACCACCACCACUUCCACCUCCAACACCACCACCACCACCACCACCUCCAUCACCACCACAACCAACUCGUGUCCCUCCUAUGCAUACACGAUCUCAAAGUGGGAUUCGUAAACCAAAUCCUAAAUAUGCCCUUCACUCUAGUUCUAUUUCUCCUAUUGCUAUUUCUCCAAAGGCAGCCCUACUUGACCAAAACUGGAAUUGUGCUAUGACCAAUGAAUUUAAUGCUUUACUUAAACAAAAUACAUGGGAUUUGGUUCCUCGUCUAUAGGAUAACAAUGUAAUUGGUUGCCAUUGGAUUUUUCGACAUAAAUUUAAUUAUGAUGGGUCUCUUGAGCGAUACAAAGCUCGUUUGGUUGUUAAUGGUAAAUCACAAGAGGUUGGUGUGGACUAAGACGAAACGUUUAGUCCUGUUGUCAAACCUGCAACAAUUCGGACUGUUCUUAGUCUUGCAUUGAGUCGUCACUGGCAUAUUCACCAACUUGACGUAAAAAACGCUUUUCUCCAUGGGAAUCUCAAGGAAACAGUCUACAUGCACCAACCUCCAGGUUUUGUGGAUCCAAGUUUUCACGGAUAUGUUUGUAAGUUACGCAAGUCUUUAUAUGGGCUGAAGCAAGCACCACGAGCUUGGUAUCAAUGAUUUGCUCACUACUUGCUUAGUAUUGGUUUUGUUUGUAGUAAGAGUGACAACUCUUUGUUUAUCUUUCGGAAAAAUAAUGAAUAUGCUUAUCUACUUGUCUAUGUCAAUGACAUAGUUCUUACAGCCUCUUCAAAUCAGCUCAAGGCGCAGAUCAUAUCUUCCCUAAAAUCUGAGUUUCACAUGAAUGACCUCGGUAAACUCACUUACUUCUUAGGUAUUUCGGUUAGCUACUCUAAAGGCGGUAUGUUUCUUUCACAACAAAAAUACGCAGGUGAAAUUCUCAAAAGACCUACCAUGGAAAACUGUAAACCGGUAGCUACACCCACAGACACUAACUCUAAGCUCAGUUCCUCGGUUGGUGAUCUUGUCGCUGAUCCUAGUGCAUAUCGCCAGUUAGCCGGUGCUCUACAGUAUCUAACUUUUACCAGACCCGACAUCGCCUAUGUUGUUCAACAAAUAUGUCUCUUCAUGCAUGCACCACGGGAACCCCACUUAAAUGCUUUAAAACGCAUUCUCUGUUAUUUAAAAGGUACUCUUCACCUCGGCUUGCAUCUAUAUUCUAGCAAGCCAUCUCAGCUUAUUGCAUAUACUGAUGCUGAUUGGGGUGGUUGUCCCGACACACGUCGUUCGACAUCAGGAUAUUGUGUGUUCCUAGGCGAUAAUUUGAUUUCAUGGUCCACUAAACGACAACCGACUCUGUCCCGCUCAAGUGCCAAAGCUGAAUAUCGUGGGGUGGCUAAUGUUGUUGCCAAGGCUUGUUGGUUGCGUAAUCUUCUUCUUGAGCUUCAAACUCCUCUCAAGACUGCUACUUUGGUUUAUUGUGAUAACGUCUCUGUUGUCUACUUAUCCGGUAAUCUAGUACAACACCAACGCACGAAACAUAUUGAAAUGGACAUUCACUUCGUCCGGGAAAAAGUUGCCCUUGGUCACGUUCGUGUUCUACAUACCCCUUCCGCCUAUCAGUAUGCAGAUAUUUUCACCAAAGGAUUGCCUUGUUCUCUUUUCUUGGACUUCAGAUCCAGUUUAAGCAUACGUCCUCCUCCUGCUCCAACUGAGGGGGGCUAUUAGCCGAUAUUAUUUUAGUGUUGAUUGUAUUCUAUUUUAGGCAUUGAUCCCUUUGUUUUUGUAUAAAUAUACUCUUAAUAUUCAAAGAGAGGCAAGCAUUAUUUCGUUGUGUAUUACAAACCACAUGGACUAUUCAUGUAAUUUACUUUAUAUUAUCUUUGUGAAACAUGUGACGUGAUAUAUUCAAACAAGUUCGUGUUUUAUAAAUCAUAAUAUAUGCAAUGAUCAUUUGUAUAGAUGCUAACAUGCACGAUAAUUAUGUUGGUAUAUGCCUAUAUGGUGCCCAAUAAGAAAGCAAGAGUAACAAUUAAAAGUGUUUAAAAGGAAAUUGUUUAUUGAAUUUCAAGAAUCAAGAUACCUCUCAAAUGCUUACCUAGGGUCUUAUAUAUAGGAUAGGGCUAAAUUUGGUCUGCACGAUUAAUUAUAGAAAUAGUUGGUAGUGCACAUUGAACCUCUAAAGUUGAAAAAAUAUCCAGAAAAAACGAAAGAUAUUCACUCAAUGGAGAGUUGCUUUCCCUUAGUGGCCAAGGGUUCGUAUAAACAUCACUACCUACAUGUUGGUUUUUUGCCACUAACUUUUCAAAUGUCUGAAUCACAAUAAGAUGUUUUGUGUGACCAAUUUCAUCACCCUCUUCCCCACGCCAAGAAAAGAAAAAGAAAUGGUUGGCAUGCAUGCAAAUAUUAUAUGGAUAAGGUUCUUUGUAUACUGUUGUAAACGAAUUGUACAUUAAACACAAAGUUUGUUUAUGUAAUACUAAAUGACAAAUUAAGUUUGUUUAUUUAAUAAAUGAAUGAGGAAUUUGUUCCAUCAAAAUUCACACCUCAUCCUUAUUUUAAUUUUAAAAUUCAUUUGGAUUUAUGUUAUUUUUCAGAAAAAAAAAAAUCAAUAAAACACGGUUUUAUAAAAUGUAACUCUAAUAUUGAAACUAAGAUGAAAUAACUAUUAUGAGGUCCGCUAUUUUUUUCUUGGCUGCCAAGCCUUAAUUAGAAAGUGAUUAUAGCGUAAAUAUGUUUGACUAACAAAGAAAAUUUCCAGAAAAGUGAAGACAUACAUUUCUUACUUUAUUCCAUCAUCCUCCUCCACACGCCAAAGAAAUUAUUGGGAAAUUUACAACAAACUGAUUCUUUUUGGUGUAUAAAUAUCGCAGAUUUAAGGAUAUCAGUCAUAACAUUGAGAACGCACUUCAGGAAAACUUUUUGCAAGAACAAGUUUUAUUUAACAAGAAAUUUUCUUCUUCAUUUUCUUUUGAUUAAGAUGGCUAUUAUAUCAGGUUUCUUUAGUUGUUUUUCGGGUGCAGCAAACAAGGUGAUGGACGAAGGAAAUGAUGAAAAUGGUGCAUCAAGAAAACUUCAGAACAUUGAUGGAGAUCACAAAACGAAAGUGAUCAAGAGCAGAAAAAGCGCACCAAUUCCAGUUGCUUAUUUCCCAGUCGCCUCUAACUUUUCUCGAUUGUAAAUAUAAAAAAAGAAAAAGAAAAAAAGCAGUCCAGUUAAGCUCUAGCUACUAUGCUUAAUGGAUCCAGUACAGGUAUAGAUGCAUUAUGCAUGGAGCUACUAAGAGAAAAGUGAGAGGAUCGAAUAUAUAUGGAAUUAAUGGUCAUGGGUUCAACUCCACGUUCUUGAAACUCUCAGUAUGCAUGUAUUAUUAUUCAGCGUAGCAGAAGAAGCAUUUUAAUGUAUAAUUUCAUUUGUUUUUAUAUAUUCAAUUUUAAGAUUUUUUUUUUAUAAGUUUUGAUAGACCGUAUGUUCGUGUCUCUUAUAGCACUUUAGAAUAAUCUAUUUGUAAUUAGUUGAUGCGUUUAAUUUAUAUAUGAUCUAUAUUUUAGUAUUUACAUUUAAUUAACUAGUCUUCCAAUUCGAUCAUCAAAAAUAUUCUUCUCUAAAGUCGAACCAUAAGGACAGCAAGGGAUCUUCUUGCUGUCUCACACAUCUACAAAAAAAUUAGAAUUCUUUAGUUGGGGAUUUAUUUGAAUUGAAAUAAACUAUUUCUAAUUUUAAAAUUCAUGUGGAUAUAUUUUAAUUUUCAGAAAAAAAAAAAAAAAAAAAAAAAAAAAAAAAAAAAAAAAACUCAAUAUAACACGGUUUAUAAAAUGAAAUUAUAUUAAUAUUGAAACUAAGAUAAAUUGAGGUCCACUAUUUAAUUUUCUUGGCGGCCAAGUCAUGAUGCAUGGUUUGAUAACUAUUAAAUCGAUAUUAAAUCAUCUG
rnacentral:lncRNA from 1 species